AGCUGGGGUCCUGCUCUGGUGGGAGGAAGAGGCUCAGACGCUUCCCUGCCCUCUCGCCUCAACCACCUCGAGGCAGCGGCUCCCAGGAUGUGCACUUUGACGACUAAAGCUGAGCCGGCGCCGCCACGACCUUGGGCGGGUGGUCGGCCUCUGCCCUGAGCAGGAAGUAGAAAGUCUCAGCAGACCCUUCCUGAGGGCCGAGCAACAGUGUAGUGGCGUAUUCCACAUAGCAAACAGGGACCCUGGGAGCAUCUGUGUUCUCGUGUUCUUCUUGCCUGUGAGGCCUCUUCUCUCUGAGGACAGAUGGUAGGACAGAGAGAAGACAGCAAAUGGAAAACAAAGGCUGCUAUUUUUUUGUGGGCAUUUCUUCCUGUGACAAUAUGGUGUAAGACAAAAUUGUGGCCUGCCAUGAAGUUGUGAGAGAAAAGCAUCCCUCAUUUCUUCAGGAAAGGCCACUGCCGUUCCCUCCGGCUCCUCUUCUCAGGAGUUUGUGCAUUCAUGAGGUGAAUUCCUUGGAAGAUGAGGGCCAAGUCUUAUUCUUCUCAGUCUCUUCUGCAUCUAGCAGAAGAAUAAUGGUUGCACAGAAAAUCUUGGUUCAGUGGUUGAGUGAAUGAAUGGAUGAACAGGCUCUUGCACACAAAGAAGAGACAUGAUGUAUUUGCAUCCUUCCCUGCUUCAGCCAGUUUUCUGAAGCUCAGAGGGACACCUUGUAUUGCUGGAUGAUAAAAACAGGAGCAAAGUGAUGAAGUGCUGACAAGGCAACAAUAGAACAUGAGAGAUUCACUGCUGUGUAGGAAGAGAUCUUCGGUGACCAUGUAGCCUGAAGCUCUCAUUUUGUCAUCGAGGGACACCAAAACUCAGAACAGUGCUAAGCUCCUACAUCCUGUUCUGGAAGGACAAUCCUGAGCACACGAUGAGCCAUAUAAACUUCAGACUGACGCUGAGUGAAAGAAUGCUGGAAAAGCAUCACAGGCCAGGGCAGCAAAGUCUUCAAGGUCAUCCGUGCUCUGAUGAUGUCACGCUUCUUCCCUGUCUGGAAGACAUUUCCCCAAGAGCAUACCACCAACAUCAGGGAAAUGGAAUCCAACUGGUCGCUGCAAAGUUUGCUGAGCACACAGUGAUAAAGAUGGCAAGAAGGUCCUGAGAGAAACGCAAUAUUUUUGUGCAGAAUGGGAUGUUCUGCCUUUGUCCCAUGCUUUGAAAUUUACCACAUGAAAAAUAAAAUUAAAUACUGAUCAUCA
ensembl:lncRNA SLC44A3-AS1 SLC44A3 antisense RNA 1